rnacentral:rRNA from 2 species
UAAGGAAUAUUGGUCAAUGGACGCAAGUCUGAACCAGCCAUGCCGCGUGAAGGAUGAAGGUCCUCUGGAUUGUAAACUUCUUUUAUAGGGGGCGAAAAAAGGUCUUUCUAGAUCACUUGACAGUACCCUAUGAAUAAGCACCGGCUAACUCCGUGCCAGCAGCCGCGGUAAUACGGAGGGUGCAAGCGUUAUCCGGAUUCACUGGGUUUAAAGGGUGCGUAGGCGGGUAGGUAAGUCAGAGGUGAAAUCCUGGAGCUUAACUCCAGAACUGCCUUUGAUACUAUCUAUCUUGAAUAUGGUGGAGGUAAGCGGAAUAUGUCAUGUAGCGGUGAAAUGCAUAGAUAUGACAUAGAACACCUAUUGCGAAGGCAGCUUACUACGCCUAUAUUGACGCUGAGGCACGAAAGCGUGGGGAUCAAACA